AUUCAGAGUCAUGCCUCCACUUAACCCAGUGGAAUUCAUGCUGUACAGUUUUAUACAAGAUUUCCAACAAACUGAAGGCUCAAACAAUUAUCUCCUGCAGGGACAAAUCCUGCUGGGUGCUAGUGGAGUUGGAUGCAAUAAAUGUAUCUGCCCCUAGUCACCUGGGUCUCAGUGGUCAUAAGGUGUAAACAAACCUUUCUACUUUGCCUAGAUAAUAUUUUCUUUUCACUACAAGCCACAUUUAUCAAUUUCUACAUAUGCACUGAUGUCUUUGAACUAUAGAAAAACAUCACAGCACCCAUAUAAACUCACACAGAUACAGGGAGCACCAUCGGAAAAGCCACAUAAAGGUUCAACCCAGAACCUUUCUGCUGUGAGAUAACAGUGCUAAUAGCUGCAGCACUCUGUGGCAUGUGACAGUGUUCCUCGCUCCCUGCUUACUACAGAAAAAGGCAUAACAUCCAAAAAUGAGAUGCCUUGGUCCUUGUGCAAUAAGUCAAUGAUUAAAAGAAUACCAGCAAAUCUAAAGCACAAUAGCUAAAAAAAAAAAUGAAUAAAUAAAAGAAUUGAGGUAUUCAAUAGUGGUCAAAGUCCAGACCUAAAAAUGAUUGAAAUGCUGUGGCAGGACCUUAAGAUAGCUAUGCAUAAACAAAUACCUGUGAACCUGAAAGAACUGAAGCAACGCUAGAAAUGACUCAAAAAUUCCUCCACAACAAUGUAAACAAUACUGCCAGUGCGCCCCUCAAACUCCUAACAGACACACCUAUGGUGUCAAUUUCAAAAUCCUACAUUGCCUUGUUCUCAAGUUAUCACAUUCACAAGAUUUUCAGAAAACUUACUCUGACAUUGAGAUUCAGGUAACUGAGAUUCAAAAUCAUUCAAAUGUUUUAGUAGAUGCACCUAUGUUAUCAAUUUGAAAAUCUCAGGUGACUUAUUUCUUGAGUUACUGCAUCCACAAGAUGCAACAAUCUGGGAUAUCCUCAUCUGUACCCCUCAAUACCUUUGGAUCUCUGGCAUUAAAGCGUAAUAAAACAAUAAAAUUUCAGUGUUUCAUCAAAACAUGCUUGACUUAGAUUAUGCAGCAUGUAAUGAGCCUAAUUCUGCAUUCUGAUUUGUAGACCACCUAAAUCCACAACUAACAUUUUAGGUGGUUUUGGUAACAGCCAUUCCAGACUUAAUAGUACCUCUUUAAAGUAAGAGGUCCAAAAAAUCUCUCAGGCUUGGGAUAAUAGAAAAUAUUUUCACAGAACAGAAUGAUUUAGAAAGCACAAAAGAAAUGGUCAUACAAUUGAAUGUACACCUUGACUCUCUAAAGACCUUGAUUUAAAAAAUAAAUAAAUAAAAAACAGUCAAUGAAGCAAAAACUCCUGAUCAAAUUGUUGUAGUUUGUAUCUGGUUUUUAACCCUGUUUGAUAAUUGCUUGUGAUGGCUUUUUCAGGGGUGGAUUGGCUGUCAGAUAAUUUCCUUCAACUAUGAUUAAGUCUGACAGCCUAGAAAAUAAACAAUAGGUUUUUGUGCUCCCCC
ensembl:lncRNA